CAGAAAUCUACUUAAUAUGAAAUUUAAGUAUACUUGACUUAUACUUACAAAAAGUCUAAAUAUUUGAGCUAUACUUGUGCUCCUGGUAGGCUACAUAUUUUCAUUAUCAUUUUAGAAUCAGAUAUUGACUGUAAUAAGAAUGCUUCACAUAUUUUUGAAACUUCCCAAAUCUUACAUACGGGGCACAACAUAAGACCCUGAAUGUUUAUUACUACAGUGUCACGUUUCUCAACUAUUUUGGCACACUUCACUCCUCUCUGUUCUCAAGAACUGCCAACACCUGCUUACUACGCGCCGGAGAACACGUAGACCCAGCACACAAAACACAAAAACAGGAUUGUCAUGCGGCUACUGAACAGAUAAAAUUUUUUAAGAAAUAGGCUAGUUCUUGAUCACGUUAUGGACGUCCCAAAUGAAGUAGGCUACUAUUAAAGGAGGGUGUAAACACUUUUCUUUUGCUACGGAUUAAAUGUUGACGUGCUCUUGCUGGAUUUAGACGAAAAGUGUGUUUCUGUGGACAUUGCUUUAAUUCAUCCUUGUGGAUCUUAAAGCUAAUAACACGGUGCUUAUUAAAAGAAGGAAAAAAUAGAGGAGACAAAUGAAGAGGAGGAGGGAUGAACAUUCACAAGCCGGAGGAUCAAAACCAGCAAAUCUGGAGGAUCUUGUUAAAAGGAACAGUAUGGAACUUCCUGCGACUCUGAAAUUCUCUCAGGAUGCAGACAGACCAGAGAGACAUUUUGAAGUAUCAGAAUCAAAGACGAGAUCAUCUGAACACCAACCAGACAAAUCUCUAUGAAUCUCUCACGUUUCUUCAGAUGGAGCUGAAAUUGCUAAUUGUUUCCAGGCCUGGCUCCAUCCAAGCAGGAGUUUCAAAAAUUCACGUUUAUUUAGAAAGUAGAAAGCAUGUAAGUCUUGCCAGUUUACUGUAAAGGAAUUUUCCAUAUUGAUUUUUUUUACACGUGUUUUAUUUUGCAGUUCUAUUUUGUGUUUUAGGGUUAAUGGAAAUGUUUGUAAAAUUAAUGGAUAAUGUCCUAGCAGAAAAUUGAAUAUUACUAGUAUGUUUUCCGUUGUUGUUGUUGUUGUUGUUGUUGUUGUUGUUGUUGUUGUUGUUUUAACAGUGUUUUGGCUGUUUUCUGUGCACACACAGAGAGCACAUAUCAGACAUUACUGAACUUAUCUUAACUGAGUUACAAUAAAAUGUCUUAAAGAAUGUAACUAGUUGGGAGAACAGAGACAGAGACAACAGCUUUAUAAACCUGCUGCUGUCUUGUGUCAUUAAUGUUUAUUGGAAAAAAAAAUCUGAAGCUAAUUUAAGAUUCAUUUUAACACUAAUUUUAAUCUUAUAUCUUUAAUAAGGAUUAAGCUAUAUUUAAUUUAUCAUUAUAGUAUUUCAUACCUGAAUAUACUGCUAAACUUACAGCAGUUUUGCUUUCAUUUGUAUCCUUGUUCAGCUGUAUUUAUUUGCACUAUUGGUUGUAAUUUAUUCAUUAAUUGUUCUCCUUUAAUUACUGACUUGUCUUUUUUUUUUUUUUUUUUUUUUUUUUUUUAUUGCCCACCAGGAAUGUUCAUUGGUCCCACCUUACAUGUAUUCAAAUAUAUUGUGUGCAUGUAAAUAUUGUGUAUACUGUAUGUACAAUCUGCUUUAGAAAUUUGUUAUAAAGAGUAACUUUGUUGUAAAGAUGUAAAAUGUUACUGCAGUAUAUUGAUGCGUAAUGCCACAGGAUAAAGUAUCAAAUAUGACAGAUGCUCUUCGUUAUACAGUAGGUCACGUGAUUAAAGACAGAAUGUUUUCCGGUCCGUUGAUGAUAACACAUCAUGUGUAACUAGUGUAUAUUUCUAUACUUUAUCAUAAAUCUGAUUUUAAACCUUUUAGAGAAGUAUGUGUCUUUGACAUAAAAACAUCUGAUGACAGCUAUAAAUAAUUUUUUUUUAAUUAUUUCUCACUGAUUGCUUCAUGACAGUGAUAAAGGAUGAAAUAUCUGAUAAUUCUACAGCUGAUCAUUUCUUUAUUAUAUGAUCAUUAUUCAUCAUCAGUACAAAAACAAACUGUUUGAAUUAUUCACCAAAUCACAGAGUAAGUCUGAGGACCGCAAGUAUCUAUUUAAAGUAUGAUUCAACCAAAAAUAAAAUCUUAUCAUAAUUUCCUCACCCUCAUGUCCUCAUUGUUCCAGUAUUGCUUUGGCACACAGAACUAAAUGCCUCAAUGUUUAUAUGGUCUCACAUUUAGAUUUUAGAAGGGUAGAAAAAAUUAUUGUGUAGCAUAACCUUGUACAUGCUAUAUGUAAAUCAAGAACAUUUUGCAAAGAGACAUGCAAAAAAAGCGAGAACAGCCACAUCAAAAUCAGAAAAAUUCCCCUGAAGCAAACAAUUUUGUAUACAGUAGCCUAAUGAAAGAUUCCUGAAUGUCUAACACUGAGUGAAGUCCAUAUCACCUGCUUCAACAUGUUCCUUCCUGGGAGAAGAAGGCUAAAGAGACAUAUUUAUAUGUGAAAAUAUUUAGGAAUGUGAAUCACACCCAUACUACCACCCACCCACACACACACACACACACACACACACGUUUGUUUCUGUGAAUUGUGGGGACUUUCCAUAGACUUCUAUUACUUUUAUACUGACCAAAUUAUAUUUUCUAUCCCCUAACCCAACCCAAACACUAAACUUAUUUGCAGUGUUAAACUUUCAGAUAAACAUCAUUUACUAUUACUAUUAAUAAUUAAUAGUAAUUACUAUUUGUAAUAAUUUUUCCCCCUCGUUGUCCCCUCAAUGUCAAAAAUUUCAGAUUUUACUCUCCUUGUGGGGACAUUUGGUCCUUAUAAUGUAGCAUAAACAAGCACACACACACACACACACACACACACACACACACACACACAUAUCUGUGAUACUAAAUACCAAAAUAAUAUUUUUUACAUAUUAUCUAACAUUGCAACAUUGCAAACAACAAUACAAUCAGAAAAGGACUUUAACUGUAAGCGACACAAGCAUAAAGAAAAUAAAGGGAACAAUAGCCUAAAAUCUUCAAUUUGUUAAUAUUUCAAAUUUUAUAUGAAUUUGCAUGUACAUUUUUUAAUCAGUUUAUUAGUUUACUCGGGCUUGUUGCCUUCAACAUUCUCAAUGACCAAAAAUCUAAGAUGUGUUUAAGGGGAAUUUCAAAAUUUGCUUUGCGUGAGAAAGCACAUUUUAGUUUUUCUUUUGUUUCAUUUUUUUUGUUUUUUCUUUUGAUUUAGUCGAGUUAGUUUUGCAUUAAACACAAUGUGAAUAAUAGCACAUUUUCCUGAUCGCUUUGCUGACAGCUUAUCUCGUGCAUAUCUCCUGCAUCCCAGCAAACCAGCUAGAAUGCUCUACAGUCCUGAUGAGUCACAGCAAUGGAGCCGAG
rnacentral:lncRNA from 12 species